UACGGAGGGUGCAAGCGUUAAUCGGAAUUACUGGGCGUAAAGCGUGCGUAGGCGGUUCGUUAAGUCUGCUGUGAAAGCCCCGGGCUCAACCUGGGAAUGGCAGUGGAUACUGGCGAGCUAGAGUGUGAUAGAGGAUGGUGGAAUUCCCGGUGUAGCGGUGAAAUGCGUAGAGAUCGGGAGGAACAUCAGUGGCGAAGGCGGCCAUCUGGAGCAACACUGACGCUGAGGCACGAAAGCGUGGGGAGCAAACAGG
rnacentral:rRNA from 1 species